rnacentral:rRNA from 1 species
GUGGGGGAUAUUGCACAAUGGGGGAAACCCUGAUGCAGCGACGCCGCGUGAAGGAAGACGUACUUCGGUAUGUAAACUUCUAUCAGCAGGGAAGAAGAUGACGGUACCUGACUAAGAAGCCCCGGCUAACUACGUGCCAGCAGCCGCGGUAAUACGUAGGGGGCAAGCGUUAUCCGGAUUUACUGGGUGUAAAGGGAGCGUAGACGGUGAAGCAAGUCUGAUGUGAAAACCCGGGGCUCAACUCCGGGAUUGCAUUGGAAACUGUUUGACUUGAGUGCAGGAGGGGCAAGCGGAAUUCCUGGUGUAGCGGUGAAAUGCGUAGAUAUCAGGAAGAACACCGGUGGCGAAGGCGGCUUGCUGGACAGUAACUGACGUUGAGGCUCGAAAGCGUGGGGAGCAAACAGGAUUAGAAACCCCUGUAGUCC